UACAGAGGAUGCAAGCGUUAUCCGGAAUGAUUGGGCGUAAAGCGUCUGUAGGUGGCUUUUUAAGUCCGCCGUCAAAUCCCAGGGCUCAACUCUGGACAGGCGGUGGAAACUACCAAGCUGGAGUACGGUAGGGGCAGAGGGAAUUUCCGGUGGAGCGGUGAAAUGCGCAGAGAUCGGAAAGAACACCGGUGGCGAAGGCGGUUCUCUGGGCCUUACCUGACGCUGAGGAGCGAAAGCGUGGGGAGCGAACAGG
rnacentral:rRNA from 1 species